AUCUUAAUUUUAUCUUAUAAAUUUUUAUAAUAAAAAACUUUUUUAUUCUAUUUUAACUAUUAUAAAUAAUUAGUACAGUAAUGGAAAUAAAUAUUUUUAAAAGUAAAGACAAAAUCUUGUACCUUGUGCAUAAUGGUUUUACAAUAUUAUAAUUUAUAUUAUAACCCGAAUUCAAAACGAGCUACAUUUAUAUUGUUAAGAACUAAUUACUAGUUGUUGCAUAAACCUUAAAAAAUAUUAAUGUAGGGGCUACAUACCAACCGCGUUAGAAAAUUUCUGGUUUUCAAAUAAAAUUUUAAAUAAGCAUAUAAAGAAUAUUUAUAUUGUAAAUUAAUAGAGGAUAAGCCCUAUUAAUAUGUGUUAUAUUAUAUAUUAUUCAACUAUAUAAGCUUAAAACCAGCUAUUUAUACUACUUUAUCGUAGCUAUUAAUAUAUAAAUAAUUUAUUGAUACACGAAUAUAUUUGAAAUAAAGAAUAAACGAAUAAAUUCUUUAUUAUUAUGUAAAAAUAAGUAUUAAUAAAAUUUAUAGUAAACUAUAAUAAUAAUAAAGGAACUCGGCAAAUAAUAAUUUUGACUGUUUACCAAAAACAUUGUUUCCUGUUAUAAGAAUAGGAAAUACCUCCUGCCCAGUGAAAUUUUCAACGGCCGCGGUAUCCUAACCGUGCAAAGGUAGCAUAAUCACUUGCCCAUUAAUUGUGGGCUAGAAUGAAAGGAUAAACAAAAUAUAUACUGUCUCUAUUAUUAACAUAAAAAUUAAUUUCUAAAUGAAGAAGUUUAGAUAAAAUUGACGGACAAGAAGACCCUAUAGAGCUUUAUUUAUAUUAGAAAAUAAAAUUUCUACAUAUAAUUUGGUUGGGGCGACCAAGGAAUUAAUUAAUCAUCCUUAUAAUAAAGACUUAUUAGUCCCUGUGAUGAUCCUAUAUCAUAGAUCUAAAGAUCAAGCUACCUUAGGGAUAACAGGCUAAUCUCAUUUAAGAGUUCUUAUCUAAAAUGGGGGUUGGCACCUCGAUGUUGGCUUAGGAAAUCUUAAUAACGCAAAAGUUAUAAAAGAGGGUUUGUUCAACCUUUAAUAUCCUACAUGAGCUGAGUUCAGACCGGCGUAAGCCAGGUUAGAUUCUAUCCUCAAUUAUUUAUAUCCGUUUACAGUACGAAAGGACCUAAAUACGAAUAAUUAUUUAUUAUAAAACCUGAAUAAAUAUAAUAUUUUAUUUAUUUAUUUUAAAUAUAAACUAUAU
rnacentral:rRNA from 1 species